GACGAACGCUGGCGGCGUGCUUAACACAUGCAAGUCGAACGGUAAGGCCCUUCGGGGUACACGAGUGGCGAACGGGUGAGUAACACGUGGGUGAUCUGCCCUGCACUUCGGGAUAAGCCUGGGAAACUGGGUCUACUACCGGAUAGGACCACUGCCUGCAUGGGCGGUGGUGGAAAGCUUUUGCGGUGUGGGAUGGGCCCGCGGCCUAUCAGCUUGUUGGUGGGGUGAUGGCCUACCAAGGCGACGACGGGUAGCCGGCCUGAGAGAGUGACCGGCCACACUGGGACUGAGAUACGGCCCAGACUCCUACGGGAGGCAGCAGUGGGGAAUAUUGCACAAUGGGCGCAAGCCUGAUGCAGCGACGCCGCGUGAGGGAUGACGGCCUUCGGGUUGUAAACCUCUUUCAGCACCGACGAAGCGCAAGUGACGGUAGGUGCAGAAGAAGGACCGGCCAACUACGUGCCAGCAGCCGCCGUAA
rnacentral:rRNA from 1 species